UACGGGGGGGGCAAGCGUUGUUCGGAAUUACUGGGCGUAAAGGGCUCGUAGGUUGCCAACUAAGUCAGACGUGAAAUCCCUCGGCUUAACCGGGGAACUGCGUCUGAUACUGGAUGGCUUGAGUUCGGGAGAGGGAUGCGGAAUUCCGCGUGUAGCAGUGAAAUGCGUAGAGAUGCGGAGGAACACCGAUGGCGAAGGCAGCCCCCUGGGCUGACACUGACGCUCAGGCACGAAAGCGUGGGGAGCAAACAGG
rnacentral:rRNA from 1 species